GACGAACGCUUGCGGCGUGCUUAACACAUGCAAGUCGAACGGAGUGGCGAACGGGUGAGUAACACGUGGGUGAUCUGCCUUGCACUUCGGGAUAAGCUUGGGAAACUGGGUCUAAUACCGGAUAGUGCAAGAUGAGCUCGCGGCCUAGCAGUUUGUGGGUGGGGUAAUGACCUACCAAGGCGUCGACGGGUAGCCGGCCUGAGAGGGUGUACGGCCACAUUGGGACUACGCUACGGCCUGGACUCCAACGGGAGGCAGCAGUGGCGAAUAUUGCACAAUCGGCGGAAGCCUGAUGCUGUGACCCCGCGUGGGGGAUGAAGUCCUUCGGGUUGUAAACUCAUUUCGACAGGGACGCGGUACCUGUAUAAGAAGCACCGGCUAACUACGUGCCAGCAGCCGCGGUAAUAC
rnacentral:rRNA from 1 species